rnacentral:rRNA from 1 species
GACGGAGGGUGCAAGCGUUGUUCGGAUUGACUGGGCGUAAAGGGCGUGUAGGCGGGCCAGCAAGUCAGGGGUGAAAGCCCACGGCUCAACCGUGGAAGUGCCUCUGAUACUGUUGGCCUCGAGGGAGGUAGGGGCGUGCGGAACUUCCGGUGGAGCGGUGAAAUGCGUAGAUAUCGGAAGGAACAUCGGUGGCGAAAGCGGCGCGCUGGACCUCUACUGACGCUGAGGCGCGAAAGCCAGGGGAGCAAACGGG